rnacentral:lncRNA from 1 species
GGUCCUGGUUGACGUUUCAGCUGAAGCUCAUCAACCUCGUCUCUGGCAGAUUUUGCGCCAUCUUCACUUCUGGUGGUUACUCAACGACUCUGAUGAUGACAUGAUUCACUCUGAUUUUGCUGCGGAUUUUGCUGUUUUCACUGGCCUGCAGAUGGUGCGCCCCCGUGGUAAAGAUGAUCCAAGAGAGGUUCGGAUGAUCAAGCACAAGUCCAUGUAUUACAUUUUCAACGCCUAUAACAUUGAAUUUGUUCUCUAA